UACGUAGGUGGCAAGCGUUGUCCGGAUUUACUGGGCGUAAAGAGCGCGCAGGCGGUCGUUCAAGUCGCGUGUGAAAGCCCCCGGCUCAACUGGGGAGGGUCAUUCGAUACUGAUCGACUCGAAGGCAGGAGAGGGUAGUGGAAUUCCCGGUGUAGUGGUGAAAUGCGUAGAUAUCGGGAGGAACACCAGUGGCGAAGGCGACUUCCUGGCCUGUUCUUGACGCUGAGGCGCGAAAGCUAGGGUAGCAAACGGG
rnacentral:rRNA from 1 species